rnacentral:rRNA from 1 species
AACGAACGCUGGCGGCAUGCCUAACACAUGCAAGUCGAACGAUGCCUUCGGGCCUAGUGUCGCACGGGUGCGUAACGCGUGGGAAUCUGCCUUUCGGUUCGGAAUAACUCAGUGAAACUUGAGCUAAUACCGGAUAACGUCGCAAGACCAAAGAUUUAUCACCGAAAGAUGAGCCCGCGUAGGAUUAGCUAGUUGGUGAGGUAAAGGCUCACCAAGGCGACGAUCCUUAGCUGGUCUGAGAGGAUGAUCAGCCACACUGGGACUGAGACACGGACCAGACUCCUACGGGAGGCAGCAGUGGGGAAUAUUGGACAAUGGGCGAAAGCGUGAUCCAGCAAUGCCGGGUGAGUGAGGAAGGCCUUAGGGUUGUAAAGCUCUUUUACCCGGGAAGAUAAUGACGGUACCGGGAGAAUAAGCCCCGGCUAACUCCGUG